GAUGAAGAACGUAGCGAAAUGCGAUAAGUAAUGCGAAUUGCAGAAUUCCGUGAGUCAUCGAAUCUUUGAACGCACAUUGCGCCCUCUGGUAUUCCGGAGGGCAUGCCUGUCUGAGCGUCAUUGUCAACCCUCAAGCUCAGCUUGCUGUUGGGUCCCCGUCGUUGCUUUAACGGCGGACCCGAAAGGUAAUGGCAGAGUCCGUGAGACCCUAGACGCAGCGAGCUUCUAGCACGCGUCUGGACGUUUUUCGGGCUCGGUCUUAACUAGAUGAUAACUUCCGAUUGACCUCAGAUCAGGUAGGGAUACCCGCUGAACUUAAGCAUUCAAUAAGCGGAGGA
rnacentral:misc_RNA from 1 species